rnacentral:rRNA from 1 species
GACGAACGCUGGCGGCGUGCUUAACACAUGCAAGUCGAACGGAAAGGCCCUGCUUUUGUGGGGUGCUCGAGUGGCGAACGGGUGAGUAACACGUGAGUAACCUGCCCUUGACUUUGGGAUAACUUCAGGAAACUGGGGCUAAUACCGGAUAGGAGCUCCUGCUGCAUGGUUGGGGUUGGAAAGUUUCGGCGGUUGGGGAUGGACUCGCGGCUUAUCAGCUUGUUGGUGGGGUAGUGGCUUACCAAGGCUUUGACGGGUAGCCGGCCUGAGAGGGUGACCGGCCACAUUGGGACUGAGAUACGGCCCAGACUCCUACGGGAGGCAGCAGUGGGGAAUAUUGCACAAUGGGCGGAAGCCAGAUGCAGCCACGCCGCGUGCGGGAUGACGGCCUUCGGGUUGUAAACCGCUUUCGCCUGUGACGAAGCGUGAGUGACGGUAAUGGGUAAAGAAGCACCGGCUAACUACGUG